rnacentral:rRNA from 1 species
UACGGAGGGUGCGAGCGUUGUCCGGAAUCACUGGGCGUAAAGGGCGCGUAGGCGGCGCGGGAAGUCCGUGGUGAAAGCCCGAGGCUCAACUUCGGGUCGGCCAUGGAUACUCCUGGGCUUGAGCACUGUAGAGGCAGGUGGAAUUCCGGGUGUAGCGGUGGAAUGCGUAGAGAUCCGGAAGAACACCGGUGGCGAAGGCGGCCUGCUGGGCAGUAGCUGACACUGAGGCGCGAAAGCGUGGGGAGCGAACGGG